GUUUAAGUAGUUUAACAAAGACGUCGGUUUGUGGGGCCGAAGAUAUGAAAAUAUUCAUCUUAAAC
rnacentral:tRNA from 1 species